rnacentral:lncRNA from 1 species
GGUGGUGUAUGUGAACCAGUGAUCUCUAUUCCACAGGCCACACGAUGAAGCGGGUCAUGUGGUUCCGUGUGUCCGUGGACGGUCACAGAGAGUUCACCCACCACUCGGACCCAGACCAAGUCAGCCUGUCCUACAGGGGGCGCACACGCUACAUAGGGGGGAGCUACUCCAGCUGUUCGGUCCAGAUCAAGGCUGUUAGGCUGACUGACGCGGGACAGUACCACUUCAGGUUUGAGACGGACCAGCCCAAUGGGAGAUGGACCUCCCCUGACACAGUCUCCCUCACCGUCACAGGUUGGCCUCAGGUUCAUCACAGAGACACUCCGUGUUAAAGGUGCAGUCGCUGGAGAGAUGAAGAGUGGGAAAGUGUACCAUUUUGAAAAACUUUCCCUCCCCUCUGUUCCAUAUGUUUCGCUGCCAUUGAGAAGUUUUGCAUUACACACACCUGUGAGUGAAAGGCAAGAGAGAUAUGUCAAACCAAUCAUGGAUUGGUCUCGGAUUUGCCUAUAAUCAAAAUGGGCCGAUACCGAGGCGGGCGCUGUCAUCUCUGAACAGAUACUCCCUCCGCGCAUUUCCCUCCCUGAUGGAUGUCUGUGCCAUUUCUAACAAUCACGCCCACGUUAAGGGCCCAUUUCUACCCCUUAACCCUUUCCCUUACCCCUCCCCCUUGUUUUGAAGGGGUAAAGUGAAGGGGUAAGGGGGAGGGGUAAGGGGAAGGAGUAAGGGGAAGAAAUGGGAUUGGGCCCAAGGCCCAAUCCCAUUUCUACCCCUUCCCCCUUCCCCUUACCCCUUCAAAACAAGGGGGAGGGGUAAGGGGAAGGGGUAAGGGGUAGAAAUGGGAUUGGGCCUAAGGCUCUUGAAUCAAACCUACCUUUUUGCUAUUAAGGAGCUGAGAUCACUUUUAGGUCUGCACGUUCAGGGUCCAAACUUCUCUGUGAAUGUCGUGCUGUUGAAAGUAGUUUGAAACGGGUCGCUUUUCACUCACUUUAUUUGUUAAAGUAUUUCGGUAUGGUAACUAUGAAGCAAAAGGGAGGGAAUUGUAUCAAACACUUCGAACCCGGGCUUAGGCCCGAGGCUCUCUGCGGGGCGCCUAUGAGUCUCUGACCUCCUCCGGGCUCUGCAAAUGGACCAAGUAGGCGGGGCCUAUGUGAAGUGGGCGUGGCCUAUGUGACGUCUUAGCUGCGGUUUCCUCGUCUGUCUUAAAGAUGCUGCCUUCUGUGGCUGGGGUAGAUAUUACAGCUUGUAUGUUUGCUCCUGCUCCCUUGUGGCUGUGUGGGGGCAAUACAGCUUGUGUGGUCGAUCCUGCUUCCUAGUGGCUAUGUGGGAGCAGCUUAUGUGCCUAAAAUACAUAACAUUAACAAGUGUUGCGUAAUUGUAUUUGUAUACAAGCGUAUCUUGACAUUUCAAGUUAAAUCCUGAUUGAUUCCUUUCAGUUCAUGAAGUGUUUGCGUUCCAGACCUGCAAGUCCAAGUGC